UUAUAUAUCAUUUUAUAUACCAUUUUAUAUACCAUUUUAUAUACUAUUUUAUAUACUAUUUUAUAUAACAUUUUAUAUACCAUUUUAUAAACCAUUUUAUAUACCAUUUUAUAUACCAUUUUAUGUACUAUUUUACAUACUAUUUUAUAUAUAAUAUUUUACAAACUGAAAAGUAAUUAUACUUACAGUUAUAAUACUUCUUUUUGACAAUUUUUUUUUUUUUUUUUUUUUUUUGUAUAUUUUGUUUUAUCAUAAUUAAAAUUACAUAAAUUUAUUUGUGUAUAUUUAAAUAUAUACUAUAUAUAUACUAUAUACGAAAAGAACUAACAACAUUUCCAUUUUUUUUAAUACUUUUCAUUUUUACAAAAAAGGCAAUACCAACGCUUUUACAAUAAUUUUUUUUUUUUCUUUUUCUUUCUUUUUUUUUUUUUUUUUUUUUUUUUUUUUUUUUUUUUUUUUUUUUUUUUUUUUUUUGGAAGCAUUAGCAUUACCAUACGUUUUUAUUUGUCUUGUACAUUUACCUUGUUUAUUACGACUAAGGAAAACUUUAUUUUCUUUAAUUAAUUUUUGUAAUUCUUUUAAACUCUUAGCCGAAUUAAACAUAUGUAAUAACUCUUCCGUAUCUAGUUCUGUGCCUAGUUCUUUAGAAUUAAUUUCUUGUUUAGUCAUUAAACAUGGUUCAGUUUGGCUCUUUAAAUUAGUGUUGUUUUCAUUUUCCCUAUGUCGCAUGAACUUGUUUUUAUUACUCUCUUCAACUCUAUUAGUAUAAUAAAAACCUUCAGAACUUUUAUUAUAUGUUUUAUUUUUUCUUUCUUUUUGUUUGUUAUAAUUAUAUUGUUUUUCAUUGUAACAUUCAUUCUUAGUUAAAUAUGCAUGAUUUAAAUUUGUAGCUUUAUAUCUAUUAAAGUUUUCUAUAUUAUCAUAAAAAACUUUAUAUUCUUCUCCAGUUUUUAAAUGGGCAUAUUGUACAUUAUCAUCAGCAAUAUAAGUAGCAAAAGAAUUUAAAGAUAUCGAUUGGUACUUUUUUCUGCAUAUAGCCAUGUUAUAAAGGUCACGAAGAUUGCUAAAAAAUUUGUUUUUAUUGCAUUCAUUUUCAGUGGUUUUUUGAAAAUUAUUUAAACUAUGAUUUUCAAUCGAAUUAUUGUUACUAUGUAAAGAACUGGUAAAGGAAAGCUGUCCAAUUGUGUCUAUAGUGUUUUCUUCACUUAUAUUUGAGUUAUCAUGUGUUUUAUUAUCAGCACCUUCUUUGUUACUAUUAUUGUCAUCAUCAUGUUCGGUUAAAUUAUAAUCAUUUGUUUCAUUUUCGUUCUUUAUGUGCUUCUUCUUAUUUACAUUUUUUUGUAUUUUUUUUUUUCCUUUACAUUUUGAGCAUUUAUCAUGUACCUUUGCAUCUCGUGGUAUUCCAUAAGGAUAUGCGACUAAUGGGUUACAUUGUCUAUGCAUAUCUUUAUAUGGUAACAUAAGGGGAUGAAAAAUUAAUGGUUUCAUAUCUUUAUUAAUUUGAUAGUUUACACUAUUCUCAUAGUAUUCUUUGAUAUAUGGACCCAUGAGUGGUUCUUGCCUAAAGUUUGGAUUAUAGGAAAAUUGUUUAACUCGUGUGGCAUUAACAUAUUCAUAGUUAUCUAAUGGUCUGUACAAUGUUGCAACAUUUAUAUUUUUAUAACCUGGAAUAUAGCUUGGAUGUUCCAUUUUUAAAAAAAAAGUAUUAGUAUAAUAAAAAUAUGGUAAUAUAUAUAUAUAUAUAUAUU
rnacentral:lncRNA from 1 species